UCCACCUGGACACACCUGAUGCCAUCUGCUUCUGGAAGUUUAAAAAGGUCAGGCCUGGUGAGGACUUGAAUGGGAGACCAUUCAGGACAUACCUUAGA
rnacentral:rRNA from 1 species